GACGAACGCUGGCGGCGUGCCUAAUACAUGCAAGUCGAGCGAAGUUUUUCUGGUGCUUGCCCUAGAAAAACUUAGCGGCGAACGGGUGAGUAACACGUAAAGAACCUGCCUCAUAGACUGGGACAACUAUUGGAAACGAUAGCUAAUACCGGAUAACAGUAUUUCUCGCAUGAGAGAUAUUUAAAAGUUGGUUAUGCUAACACUAUGAGAUGGCUUUGCGGUGCAUUAGCUAGUUGGUGGGGUAAAGGCCCACCAAGGCGACGAUGCAUAGCCGACCUGAGAGGGUGAUCGGCCACACUGGGACUGAGACACGGCCCAGACUCCUACGGGAGGCAGCAGUAGGGAAUCUUCCGCAAUGGGCGAAAGCCUGACGGAGCAACGCCGCGCGAGUGAAGAAGGAUUUCGGUUCGUAAAGCUCUGUUGUUAGGGAAGAAUGGAUAUGUAGUAACUAUACAUGUAAGAGACGGUACCUAACCAGAAAGCCACGGCUAACUACGUG
rnacentral:rRNA from 1 species